rnacentral:rRNA from 1 species
AUUGAACGCUGGCGGCAGGCCUAACACAUGCAAGUCGAACGGUAACAGGGAUCAGCUUGCUGAUUCGCUGACGAGUGGCGGACGGGUGAGUAAUGUCUGGGAAACUGCCUGAUGGAGGGGGAUAACUACUGGAAACGGUAGCUAAUACCGCAUAACGUCGCAAGACCAAAGAGGGGGACCUUCGGGCCUCUUGCCAUCGGAUGUGCCCAGAUGGGAUUAGCUAGUAGGUGGGGUAACGGCUCACCUAGGCGACGAUCCCUAGCUGGUCUGAGAGGAUGACCAGCCACACUGGAACUGAGACACGGUCCAGACUCCUACGGGAGGCAGCAGUGGGGAAUAUUGCACAAUGGGCGCAAGCCUGAUGCAGCCAUGCCGCGUGUACGAAGAAGGCCUUCGGGUUGUAAAGUACUUUCAGCGGGGAGGAAGGGAGUAAAGUUAAUACCUUUGCUCAUUGACGUUACCCGCAGAAGAAGCACCGGCUAACUCCGUG